GUGUGUUUCUCUUUAGGUAACUUUUUGCAUCAUAAUAGAAUAUAUUUUAUGCUUUAAUUAUUUCCCUCUCAAAUCUUGGAUGAUUCUAGCAAUGUCCAAGGAUACAAUUGGCGGAGUUUCUUUUGUUUUAAAAAACAUGAUAAACAAGUACAGAAUGUGCGCAAGCAGGAAGAAACUGACCUAAAGCUGCUGGUGUCUGACUGGACAGAAACUCAAGUUGGCCAUUGGUUAAAGAGUAUUGGAAUGAAAAAAUAUAUCCUGAAAUUUGAUUAUAAAAGAGUAAGCAGUCAAGAACUUCUUGAAUUAGACAAUGAUGCAUUAAAAUGCAUUGGAAUCACUAAGAAGAGAGAUCGCAAGAAAAUCCUUAAGGGAAUUAAGAAAAUUCAACAGACAGAAAAAAAUUAAUACAAUCUAACAAUUAAAUAUAUCAAAAAGAUAAUUCUGGAAGAUACAGCAAAAAUGAGAAAAAUAUAAUUACAUGAUAUUUACCUUUAA